AAAGUGUUGAUUUUGCUGCUGUGGUGGGCUGUGUAGAUGCAGUUCAUGCUCACUGUGUGCCUCAGUAACUUUUAACACAGUGUUGUAAUCUGUGGAGGUUACCAAUUCACACACACAGCAAGGCAUUACAAAAAAGGUCUGCCGACUUUCUCUGGUCCAACAUCUCAGAAAACAUUUUUUCAGCCGAAAUUGCCAUCUCUCGCUGCUUUUGACUCGUGAGCCAAGACCAGUUUGCUUAGUGAUCGCUGAUGCCUUGAUAUGCAUGUGAAAGCAUUAAGUUGCCAGUUUAGCGAAGUGUCAUUUUUCAAGACAAUCCUUGUCACUUUAAGCACGUGCCCAGUACUGGUUUGUGUACGGAGCGUGUUCCUGCCAAGCAUUUCUGAAUUUUCUUUCAGUGAGUUAAAUGUGAUUUCUAGGCAUUUGAGGAACAUUAUUACUGUAAGCAGCAGGCAGUAGCCCCCAGCUUUGCUGUGCUGAUCCAGCUGUUCACAGGCAGAUGCUGCUCAGUACACACUGCCACAAUUAACUCAGUUCUUCAGUCAGUAGCAAGGAAAUUUGCUCAUGGGUUGCUUAUACAGAGGGAUGUCUUUGGAGGAAUUUGAUGGCAGAACAAAGCAGCCACUGCUUCGAUUUUCUGUGCGGAGCUGGCAGUCCCUGCAGACAGAGGCCCUGCUCUGUUCCUUUCCUGGCAGCAUCCUUGAGUCUUUGGGAAUAGGAAGGGAGUAAACUGAACAGUUCUGCUAAGGCCCAACUACUGUUACGGAGGGGACCUCCUGCUAAAGAGAAGAGUAUAUUCAGUGAUAUUUAUGCUGUAGGUAGGUAAGACUGUCUUGUGAGUGCAGACAGGUGCAUUGGUGGUUACACUGGGUUGCAGGCGUGCUUUGGGCUGAUAUUGUGUUGGAUGUCUGAAGCUAAGAAAGCACGAAUUUUUGUGCUGGGACAGAUGGACUUGGAAGACCUUGGAUGCUUCUAAAUUUGGAGGAUGAUUUAUUACUUUUUGCUUUUUAUAUGCAGUACUGAGCCAGUAUUCUUCCACGGUGUGAGAAGACAAUCUGCAGUUCUGUCUCAGUCCAAAGUCUGGCUUAAAGUCUGGAAAGUAAUUUCAAAAAUGCUUGAAGAAAAUGAAAAGUUCCGACAUCGACUGUUGACUUGCAGUCAGUUCAGUGGAGAAGGCAAUGAUGCGAACCAAAAUUCACAGAAGGGUUCCCCCUGGACAGGGAGUCCAUCUUUGGUUGGGUGUAGCAAGAAAAUAAAGGAAGAUUCAGGCCAAAAGGAAAUAUAAAACUACUGAAAUUGUUUUCAUCUAGAUCUUACUAAAAUUAGUGAGAAGACCACAAAUGAUUUACAUGAGCACUGUUUCUCUGUUGUUUGCUUGGCAUAUAUGUUUCUGCUGUUCAAUAGGUUUGUUUUUAAAGUGGCUUAAAUAGCUUCUUGCAAGAUAUUCGAAGUCAUUAAGUCUGAUAUUUCACUUAGUUAUUAGUUUUUGAAAGCUUUUUAGUGAGUAUAGUAUUGUGACAGUUUGCUUGUAAAAGAAUAAAGAUGCACAUUUAGUGUUGAUGUCUAUUUUA
rnacentral:lncRNA from 1 species